GGACUCUCAACGGGGUGUCUGCGUUUGUCCGCAGGCUGAGAUCAGACCCGCGGAACCUGAUCCGGAUCAUGCCGGCGCAGGGAUUGAGUAUCUCAAGGCC
rnacentral:ncRNA from 2 species